GAUGAACGCUGGCGGCGUGCCUAAUACAUGCAAGUCGAGCGAACAGACGAGGAGCUUCCUCUUCUGACGUUAGCGGCGGACGGGUGAGUAACACGUGGUUAACCUACCUAUAAGUCUGGGAUAACUUCGUGAAACCGGAGCUAAUCCCGGCUAAUAUAUUGAACCGCAUGGUUCAAUAGUGAAAGACCGUUUUGGCGUCCCUUAUGGGUGGAUCCGGGGGGGAUUAGCUAGUUGGUACGGUAACUGCUUACCAAGGCGACGAUGCGUGGCCGACCUGGUAGGGGGAUGGGGUACACGGGAACAGAGAAGCGGUCUGGACGCCUACGAGAGGCAGCAGGAGGGUAUCUGCGGCAAUGGGCGAAAGGGUGGCGGAGCAACGCCGAGUGAGUGAUGAUGGUGGUGGGAUCGGAAAACGCGGUGAUUAGGGAGGAACAAAUGGGCAGGGAGCAGUGCAGGUCUUGACGGUACCUAAUCAGAAAGGCACGGCUAACUAAGUG
rnacentral:rRNA from 1 species